rnacentral:lncRNA from 1 species
ACAUACUACAGAGAAGCCCUAUGAAUGUAACCAAUGUGGUAAAGCCUUUUCAUGUCACAGUUAUCUUCAGAUUCAUAAAAGAUCACAUACUGGAGAGAAGCCCUAUAAGUGUAACCAGUGUGUUAAAGCCUUUUCGAGUCCCAGUUAUCUUCAAAAUCAUAAAAGAACACAUACUGGAGAGAAGCCCUAUGAGUGUAAUCAAUGUGGUAAAGCCUUUUCAUGUCCCAGUAAUUUUCAAAAUCAUAAAAGAACACAUACUGGAGAGAAGCCCUAUGAAUGUAACCAAUGUGGUAAAGCCUUUUCAUGUUCAAAUUCAUAAAAGAACACAUACUGGAGAGAAGCCCUAUGAAUGUAACCAAUGUGGCAAAGCCUUUACUCGUCACCACCAUCUUCAAAGGCAUGAAAGGACACAUACUGGAGAGAAACCCUAUGAAUGUGACCAAUGUGGUAAAGCCUUUUCAUGGAAUCUUCAAAGCCAUAAAAGAACACAUACUGGAGAGAAACUUUAUUCAGGUAACCACUGUGGCAAAGCAUUUUCAGAAAACACUAAUCUUCAAAAGCAUAAAAAAACCCUACACUGGAAAGACUCUCUAUGUAUGUAACCAUUGUGAUAAAGCCUUUGCUCAUCACAGCUAUCUUCCAAUCCAUCGAAAGACACAUAGAGGAAAUAAACACUAUGCAUGUACCCAAUGUCGUAAAGUGUUUUCACAUAACAGUAAUCUUCCAUGCCAUAAAAGAACACGUACUGAGUAGAAGCCCUACUUUUUCCUCUGAAAGCACGGGAUUGAAAUGGUCAAGGGACACACAUUUUGUCUUGUCUUCUGGGAGAACUUCAUAAUAGGGGUAAGCAUAUGUCAACUGGCACAGCUCAGAGUAUCAGUGAGACUGUUAUGAACUGAUGCCAAGCCCCCUGGGGACAACACUUAAGGGUUCACCUCUUAGGGAUCCCACUUCCCUUAGUUUUGGAUGGCUUGGCCGUCCUGACACCCAGGACUCUCCUUUGAGGUACUGUUCAUGGCUGUCUGUGGCUCUGGACUCUCUUCCUGGCCAGUCACUUCCUAGUGCAUCCUGGAUGCCAUGGGACACCCGGGCUAGUUGUUCUUCUGAAGGAGCAGAGGACAGAGCCACAGCCUUGCCUAGGGAGGCUGCUGGAGCUGAAAUUCUCCCCAUUGAUCCCUUCAGUGACUGAAGCACUUGAAGCCACUGUGAAGAGGUUGGCUUUGCUCUGACCAUGCUUCAUUUCUGAGGAUGCUGCCUCCAUGGCCCGGGACUUUCCAUGGCUAUCUGCUACAGGCUGGUCUGUCCAAGAAGGCACAACUGAUGGGCUCAGGUUCCUCUUCUGACUUCUUAAGGCCACAUGCUAGUUUGUCCUGGUCACCUCCUUGUGACUGCUUUACAAUGGCCAGGCAGACACCCAGGGUCCCUGUCCCAGCCCUCAUGCUUUGUGCCCUCUGAUGCAGUGAGUCAGGGUGAGGCCUGUCAGUCAAGGAUGGCCUUCAGUGGAUCUCAAUAUGAACCUGCAGGCCACGUUGAACAUCAUGGAAGCCAUGAUGUAGAGGUAGGGAAAGUUGAUGUGUGGCCGCCAAGCCAGGUCAAAGAAUGUGAGCAGCAUAUGUGUCAGCCGCUUGCAGAAGACCCCAUAGGAGCGGGCAGCAGCUGGACAGUCAGACUGGUGUGACAGAGCCGGGAUGCUCCCACUGCCUGGCCACCCUCCCUCCCUGUACCCCAUUGCCUAAGACCUCCUCCCCCAGGGCCAGUGCUCAGUGAUCUCAGGGAGCAAGGGAGACCAGCAGGAUGGCAGGCCACUUGGGAGCUGAGUCUGCACAUCAUUGUCCACAAGCUACCACCUGCAUUCCCAGCUGGGCUUCAGAGUCUAAAUGUAGAAAUUUUUAAUGAUGUCUUGAAAGUAUGAAUUAUAAAAGGGAAGGAACAGUAAAUAAAGAAACUAUGACAUUGACUUUGUGUGUGUUGAAUUACAAAUGUACUGAUUUUUAAAAAAUAUUUUGUAUACUAAUUUAUUUGCUUUAUGUAUAUCAGUGCACUGUAGUUGUCUUCAGACACAUGAGAAGAGGGCAUCAGAUUCUAUUACAGGUGGUGUGAGCCGCCAUGUGGUUGCUGGGAAUUUAACUUUGGAAGAGCAGUCAGUGCUUUUAUUUUUAUUUUUCUUUUCUAUUCAUUUAUUUUUGUAGAAAAUGAUUUUAAUAUUUUCAAUUGUUAAUAUUCAAUGAACAGAAUAGUUAUUUUAAGAUAUAUUUCCUUGUUAUGUCUCUCUUCUCUUCUGAUUUUAUUAAUUUGGAUACUGUCUCUGUGCCCUCUGCUUAGUCUGGUUAAGGAAUUAUCUGUCUUGUUGAUUUUCUCAAAGAACCAGCUCCUGGUUUUGUUGAUUCUUUGUAUGGUUCCUCUUGAUUUGAAAUGGCUCUUGUUGCAUUUUAGGAUAAAUUCUGGCUGUGAAAAGUCACUUAACCUCCAGGAUUAACUCAGUGUUAUAGAAUUUGGCAAGUGGCUCUCCUGCAGAACUCUGCUGAGAUAAAGAUGUUUGGGCUUUGUCUUGUAUAUUACUAUCUGUACAAACCACUUCUUGGGAUAAUUGCCAACUCCCAAAUCUCCUAGUUCCCAAGAUCCUUUUCUGCCCUACACAUUACAGGCUAUUGGUUACUAUGGGCUGUAGCUGUACUUUGACAGGUCUGUCCCUUGUGUUUCUAGAAUUUACUGUCAUAACUUCUUCAUUCAAUCUUUUUCCACAAACGGAAUGUACUCAUCAGGAAUAUGAGUGUUUUUAAAUAUCUUAAACAUUGAUGCAUAAUGUAAGAAAAUAUCCAGUAUGUCUCUUGUACAGACUCAGUUUCUCCAUACUUCUUCCUGUUGGCCCCAUUUAGUUAUUCCUUCUAGCCCCUCCCCAGUCCUUUGUGACUCUGCUGACCACAGAAUCUCUCUAGCAAGGACCUACAGCUGCCACAGUAGGCUAGUACUCAGCUAGGGCACAUUUAUCCUCCUUCCUCUCAUCCAUUUAGGCCUCUCUACACUUACCCUCAGCCCUGCUGUUGCCUGCCCACAUGAGCUGCCCCACUCCCAAUACUAGUCUCCACUUCCUAGGGAUCAGUCUUUGGGCAAUGAUGCAGAAAUGUCCUAGUUCAUUCCUGCCACCUACAAGAUACUCUCUAUCCCAGUCUUAUUCCACCCACUUAUCAGCCAGUUUAUCUUUUCUCAAUUUCUUGGGGUAGAAUCUUAGGACAAAUUUGCCUGAAAUCUAUAUUCUGACUGCAUCCCAACCUGCUGGAGUUAAAACAGGAUACCACUACAUUUAGCUUCUCAUUAAAAAAGUUGUGUGUGUAUAGAAAAUUUAGGAAGAUUGUCGAUGUGAUUUGAGAGAAGGAGUGGCAGUCUUAGGAGGUCUGGCCUUGUUGGAGGAAGUGCAUCACUGUGGGGUUGGGCUUUAAAGCUCUGCCCCAGGCAGAUGAGCCAGAUUUCUCCUAGCAAACUUCAGAUCAAUAUAAAGGACUUUCAUCUCCUCCUGAGUCAUGUCUGCCUGGAUUCUGCCAUGUUCCUGCUAAUUGAUGAUGGACUGAACCUUUGAACCUGUGAGACAGCCCCAAUUAAAUGUCCUUUGU